CCAGUUUCGGCAUUAUUGUUCUCCACAACCUUGAAACCCAUGGUUGUGCUGAUUCUUUAUCGGGAUGAGCCCGAAAACACAAACAGAGAAAAGAAAAAAAGUUAAGAUUAAACUUAUGUUUGAGAGAGACAACAUGAGUAUGGUAUAUACAUGGAGGAAGUACAAAUAAAAUGUGUCAGUUUUGGGGCUUAGUUUUUUUGCUUCAAGUUUCUUCUUUUGAGUUUCUCUCGUACUUGUUUUCUUUUCUGAGAUGAAACCAUAGACGUGAAAACCAAGGGGAAAUAAGAAGAAAACUGUUUGGCUUCCUAAUAUGAUUGUUGAUUCUCUUACAAGUUUUUUCAAUUGGCUUGGGUUACUUGUAAACUCAUAUUCUUUCUUUUUUUCUUUUGUUCUUCAGUCAUCAAAGAUUCAUAUUGAUUCACGAUAUGAAUGGUUCAACUGCUAAUAACAAUUUAGUUUAGCGACACUUCGUCUUUAUAAUUCUAAAAGUCGAGUUCUUGUCUCAUGGCUUAAAUCGCUAAAUAGGAAUGUUGUCGGUAAGGUUGGUGGCAUUGUUUCUUGUUACUUUUUUCUGCCUGAUUUGGUUUCCCGUAUAUUUGGGUCCCUACAAUUGUGAUGUUACCCAUUUUGAUGCAAAAUGGAGGCAGGGUACUUAUGCUUCUUGUUUUGGAUAGAGAGUCUCAUCUUAUCCAACUAAACGUGUAAUGUGUUGAUUUUUAUUGAAUAGAGAUUUGCUUUUUAAAAACGUAAGCAACUCCAUGAGUGAGUGAUACCACUAAAACUAUACACACAAUGCAAAAGAGAACAUCUUGUUAGUUUGGCAAGUAAAUCCUGUUUCAAUCAAAAGAGAGAGAUAAUGUGGUUUAGUAAGCAUUGGAUAGAUCAUGCUUGUGGGAAUGGUAGGUGGUCUUGCUCAUUGGUCAUUGCUUGCUUCAUUCACUGAUUUUUCAAACAAUUAUUGCGUGGAACGGAAACAUCAGGUUAAUUGUUGUGUGUGUCAAUGUUAUGUUAAUUUUGAUAAAAUUACAUGUACAUGUGUUGUAGGAAUCAAAUUGAUGAACAUCAUAAAUAACACAGAGCAGGACGAUAAUUGAUAACACUACGUAAUCCUCUAGCUAUUAACGUUAGAACAUUUCCCUAAAAUCACGUCGUUCAUCACGUUUGCAUCCACACAUAAACAAACGUGAAAGACGCGACAUUGAUUGAUAUAAAAUGCAGAGGAUGAUAUUGAUGACUCAAAGGAUAAACCGCAAAAUAAUUGGAUCACACAAUGACAAAACUGUAUAGUACCAAGUGUUGUAAAGGUUAGUUGUAGGAUGUAGCCUACUAACCACAUGGAGUAAUACUAAGGAAAUUAAAUAUAUAGAUUAAAUUUGUAAACUGACUGAUGUAUUAUCAAUAGGAAAUAAACACACUUAUCAACGUUUAAGUAAUAAUCUAAUCAUCAACUUUCAUAUUAUUUAGUUUACAAAUUUAAUCUUCUUAGUAUUAUUUCAAGUUACUGUCCGAGGGAGUGGAGUGGGACCAACUCGGUUACCUCAUCGGUUCAUCCUGCAAAAUAACUGAACUUAACAAGUGCCACGCGUCAGUUAGAUAAUGACUAAUUUCAUUUUAUUUUUGUUAAUUAAUGAAUAUUACAGUUGCUCCGCAACUCACUCUUUUCUUGUUGAGUGACUUGAGGAAGCAGUCUCGUCUCACUUGAUCAGCCCCUCAAUUCUGGUCAACUUUUCCCAAAUGACGAUCUUGUCCUUCUUCACCAGAGCUUCAAGAGCUUUCAAUGGCCACCCUUCUGCCUCCAAGCUUCUGGUGCUUUGUACUAUCAGGUUCUCAAUUUUCUUGCUUACCAUGAAUUGGGUUGAAGUAUUUUCUAUCAUAACAUAUAAAGACACAUUCUUUUUUAGUUUUGGUUAUUUUCCUAUGAAGUAUCAGUUUUUUUCCUAGUUUAAGCAAAAUGUCAGCUCAUUAACUCUGAAUCUAAACUUUUCCUUGAAUCUCAGUUUAUCAACCACCAGACACUAGACUUUGUUUGGUUACUGAGAAAAUAGACUGCAAAUGUUUGUUUUGGAGUUUUAGCUAUGCUGAAUUUAUUCAAGGGAGAUUUUGGACGGUCAUUGGUUAUGAAUAUUUUUUUAUUGAAAUCUUCUUUGUUUUUAAUUUUUGAUCGAUGUUACUGAAAUUAAUGUGAUAAUUUAUUUAUAUGUACGUUACUAUAUUUUUUUAAAUUAAAAAUUAGAAAUUUUAGUUUUUAUUGUGGGAUUAAAAAUAUUAAAAAAAUAAAUAUACUAUUGUGUGUGUGUAUAUAAACAUGGAUACAUUCAUCAAAAUUAACCAAAAAAUUUAUUGUAUCAAAACUGACACACCCCAAUCCUAGAAUCAAGGCGUGAUGGCCGUCACGUGAGUGUGACGUAGCCAAAAGUGCGACGUGGAAGCAAAAGAUAAGAGAAAUAUGCAGGAAUUUAAAACAACUACUAGCAAUAAUAUCCAACUAGCAUGAUAAAGUGAGUUUAACAGUAAAACACACAAUUUCAGAGCGUAAAUACUAGGUGCAGUCAAGUAGGACUAUAAUUAAAUUACAACACCCGCAAGUGAGUCCUACAUGCAGGACGUAUGUCAGAACGCCGAAGAGAACCUUGUGAGCCACCAAUUGCUAACUAGAACCUGGAGGGGCGUAAAACAAAGUUGAGUGGGUCAGUAAAACCAAAGUUUUCUAAAACAUUUCAUUUAAAACAUUUCUAACCCCUCACUGUAAAACUUGUAUACUUUCCCAGAAAAUAACAUAAUAGCAUAAUAUUUGCUCAAAUUGCUCAAAACAUCAAUUUUAUCAAAAUCCAGUAAAUAUGCCAAGCAAUAAUGUCAACGAUUGAAAUAUGGAUGCAUCAAUAUGACAGGUGAUAUAAUGAAAUAACCGGAGACCCUUCGGCUGGCCCUGUACGGUUCAUUCUAUAGCUCAUUAUCCGACCCAACCGGAGUCACCACAGUGACCUAUACGGCCCUACUCUGCACAUCAAUCGGAACCACCUAAGGUAGUCUGUACGAUAGAAAAGGUGUACGAAUACGCUCUAGUGCUUCUCUCAUCAAUCAUCGGCGCGCAUAAUCUAAAGUCACCUACUAGUCGGAACCACCUCUAGCGAUCUAUACGACUAGCAUGUCGGAACCCUCACAUGGUCUGUACGACAUUCACCUACUUGGAUCCAAGGUGAGCGUGCGGUGCGGUGAAUAAUAUAAGCACUAACACCAAGGGUGCAAGUUAUGAGCUCUCAAUGCAAUUCACAUUAUAAUAAAUCAUAUAAAUAACGAGAAACUUAUCUGUACGUCCACAGCACCAAUUCAUAUAUAUAAAUGCAUCAAUUAUCAAUUCAUAUAUCUCAUAGUAUGCAUGCAUGACAUUUUAAAACGUAUUUUCAUAUAAUUUCAUUUUCUGGGAAAAUCAAUAGUAUAUAGGUAAUACGAAAACAAAACUGCCCACUCACUGGUAAGUCGAUGGGUCGUAACCCCCGUGACGUCCCUAGAUGUGCUUGUCCUCGGGAUAGGUGUCACCUAUAUGUGAAACAACUAUAAAAAUGUUAAUUAAAACACAUAACCGACAAAUCGAAAUAACUUCUCACACGGUGCUCAAUUUGGGUAUGUGAAUAUACCACAUCGACCUACUCGUCGUCACGAACGUCGAGGAAUUUUUAAAAUAAUUUUUUGACGUGGCAUGCGCCAGGGCAGGCACGGGGACACGUGCCCCCCACGCGCGUCUUCUUCCCUGGGUUCGCCGGACUGUGUUUUCCGGUAGCCGGAAAACUGGGGAUUUUUCAAUCCCCUUGUUCUCCUUCAUUUUUCACCCAUUUUCUUCAUAUUUUAUGUCAAAAUGAAGCCCUAAGCAUGUAGUUUCACAAUAUACUACUUUUAAGGCUCUAAAAACAACUAAAUCCCACAGGAAAACUUCCAAGAAAAACCGGCCAAAAUCGAACCUAGUGAUUCCAACGUCCAAAACCUUCAAACGAAGCACUCCGAGCUUCCUUGGGACCUCACUAAGCUCACUAUAAGCUUAGAAUUCCCUGAAAUGCAACAUAUCACGAUUGCAUGAAUAGUGACAUAAAAUGGGGGUUCGGGUUCCACGUGAUUUCGAAGGUUUCACUUCCUAAAAGUAGCACCAAACGACUCAGGAGGUCGAAAGGAUGAAGAACCAUACCUUUUUGGCUUCGAUCCGUGGAGUUUUGAUGUCCUUGGUCCAUGUCCGUACAAUUUCGAAGGGUGAGGGAGAUAUAACGGGGAAGAGAAAGGGAAAGCACAGGGGAAAGGGAGAGAGAGAAGACUGAGUGUGUGUGGUCCACCCUAAACCUUAACCACACAAAUAACAACCCAUUAAGCUAAUAAAAUUUUCCAAACUUAGGAAAAUAAACUUUAUGAACAAAGUAUGUCACACACUCACCUUAGUAACGUCAAGGGCAGCAUCGUCAUUUCACGUCCUCGAAAUAUAUAUUUCCGGAACGGGCUGUGACAAAAACAUGGAUACAUUCUUCAAAAUCACAAAAAAAGAAAAAGAUAUUAGGCUUUAUAAUAUUAGUAAAUUUCUUCAAUUAAACUUGACAUGAAUACAUUUUAAAAUCAAAGAAAAAAGAAUGUACCCAUAUAAGUUUAAAAAUAGAUUAGAAAAAAAUUGAAUAUAUUUUAUAUAAAAAAAGGUACAUUUUACAUAUAACAAAUUGGUAUAUUUUAGAAUGAGUACAUUUUAAGAUUAAAAAGUUUUAUAUGAAUGGGUACAUAUAAUUAGCAUGGGUACAUUUAGCAAAAUAAAAAGUACAAAUACAAAAAAUAUAUAUGGGUACAAAUACAAAUAAAAUUUUAAAAGAAUAUAGGCACAAAAAGAAAUUAAUAUAUAGGUACAAAUUAAAACUGAAAAAAAAAUGGUACAAGUUAAAAAAGAAUUACAAAUUAAAAAUGGAUACAAACUAAAACUAAAAAUAUAUGAUAAAAAAUUUAGUCAUAAAUAUAAAUAUACUAAUUGUAACAUUUUUAACAUUAAAUGAAUAUAUUUAGAAAUAAAAAAUAUUUUAUUAUUGAAAUAAUUAAUGAUGUUAUUAAUACCAAGGACCUUGAUAAAAAAUUGAAAAGGAAUAAGAUUUUAAUCAAUGAAGUGGAAAAAAGAAAGGAUGAGAACCUAAUUUCUCCUGUAUUUAAUUUGCUCUCUGUUUUCUCAGCAACAAAACAUGCCUUUUGAGGUUGUUAAUUCUUUUCAUGUGAUCUUUCACUGUGGAAAAGAAUCCUCACCUCUUAAGUUACCCUUUUGCUUGAUUAGCUUGAAGGCCUACAAUCAGUUUACAUAUUCUGUGACAUCCCACAUCGCUCAGGGAAAUGAUCCUUAAAUGUAUAUUCCUAUCCUUACCUAGCACGAGGCCUUUUGGGAGCUCAUUGGCUUCGGGUUCCGUAGGAACUCCGAAGUUAAGCGAGAAGGAGCCAGAGCACUCCUAUGAUGGGUGACCCACUGGGAAGUUGCUCGUGAGUUCCCAAAAACAAAACCGUGAGGGCAUUGUCGGGGCCCAAAGCGGACAAUAUCGUGCUACGGUGGUGGAACAGGCCCAGGAUGUGGUGGUCCGCCCCGGGCAGGGAUGUGACAAAUGGUAUCAGAGCCAAUCCCUGGCCGGAAGUGUGCCGACGAGGACGUCGGGCCCCUAAGGGGGGUAGAUUGUGACAUCCCACAUCGCCCAGGGAAAUGAUCCUUAAAUGUAUAUUCCUAUCCUUACCUAGCACGAGGCCUUUUGGGAGCUCAUUGGCUUCGGAUUCCAUCGGAACUCCGAAGUUAAGCGAGAAGGAGGCUAGAGCACUUCCAGGAUGGAUGACCUACUGGGAAGUUGUUCGUGAGUUCCCAGAAACAAAACCGUGAGGGCGGGGUAGAGGCCCAAAGCGGACAAUAUCGUGCUACGGUAGUGGAGCGGGCCCGGGAAGUGAUCCGCCCCGGGCCGGGAUGUGACAUAUUCCAAGUACCUUGACAUAGAUCUACUACUAAAAGGGUCAUGUUGAAGAUUUACAAUAGUUUACCAAAGCAUGUGUUUUUACCUUUUUCUUUUGUUUGAAUUGUUCGAUCCACAUUGAUAAGAUCAAAAUCUGUAAGCCCUUAAUCAACCUACAAGUAACACAGAGGAUAGAGAGGAAGAGGGAAGGAAGAUGAAGGAGCAGAGCUCCAGAUAUUUUUGUAUUUAAUUUUUUUCUUGUAAAUUAUGUUCUGAUUUGUUUCCUGGGAGCUAGGCUCCUUUUAAAUAGUUAACUAGGAUUAGGGUUUCUCAUCUUUGUUUUUAAAUCACCAUUUUCUAAUCUUUGUUUUUAAAUAGUUAACUAGGAUUAGGGUUUCUCAUAAAUUGUUUUAAAUAAUGCCAGCGGAAAACGACCUUGCUUGAGCCGUUUAUACUACAACAACCUUGUUCUCUUGCAAGUAUUUUGUUUGAUUUUAUCCCUACUUUUGUAGGUGGUAAAAUACCUAUCAAGUGACGCCACUAAAACUAUGCACACAAUACAAAAGAGAACCUCUUGUUAGUUUGGCAGGUACAUUAUGUUUCAAUCAAAAGAGAGAGAGAUAAUGUGGUUUAGUAAGCAUUGGAUAGAUCAUGUUUGUGGGAGUGGUAGGUGGUCUUGUUCAUUGCUCAUUGGUCAUUGCUUGCUUUAUUACCUGAUUUUUCAAAAAAUUAUUGCAUGGGAUGGAAACAUUAGGUAAAUUGUUGUGUGUGUCAAUGUAUGUCAAUUUUGAUAAAAUUACAUGUACAUAUGUUGUAUGAGUCAAAUUGAUGAACAUCAUACGUUAUACAGUGCAUGACGACAAUUGAUAACACUACGUAAUACUCUAGCUAUUAACAUUAAAACAUUUCCCUAAAAUCACAUCGUUCAUCACAUUUGCAUCCACACAUAAGCAAACGUGAAAGACGCGACAUUGAUUGAUAUCAAACGUAAUACUAAGGAGACUAAAUUUACAAAUUAAUUAAUGUGUCACCAAUAUGAAAUGAGCAUGCUUACCAACGUUUAACCAAUAAUUUAAUCAUCAACUUCCAUAUCAUUUAGUUUAUAAAAUUUAGUUUACAAUUUAAUCUCCUUAGUAUUACUUCAAUAAUCACGUUACUGUCCGAGGGAGUGGAGUGGGACCAACUCGGUUACCUCAUCGGUUCAUCCUGUAAAAUAACUAAACUUAACAAGUGCCACGUGUCCGUUAGAUAAUGACUAAUUUCAUUUUAUUUUUGUUAAUUAAUGAAUAUUACAGUUGCUCCGCAACUCACUCUUUUCUUGUUGAGUGACUUGAGGAAGCAGUCUCGUCUCACUUGAUCAGCCUCUCAAUUCUGGUCAACUUUUUCCAAAUGACGAUAUUGUCCUUCUUCACCAGAGCUUCAAGAGCUUUCAAUGGCCGCCCUGUAGCCUCCAAGCUUGUGGUGCUUUGUACUAUCAGGUUCUCAAUUUUCUUGCUUACCAUGAAUUGGGUUGAAAUAUUUUCCAUCAUAACAUAUAAAGACACAUUCUUUUAAGUUUUUUUUAUUUUUCGAUGAAGUAUCAGUUAUUUUCCUAGCUUAAGCAAAAUGUCAUAGAUCUACCACUAAAAGGGUCAUGUUGAAGAUUUACAAUAGUUUACCAAAGCAUGUCUUUUUACCUUUUUCUUUUGUUUGAAUUGUUCGAUCCACAUUGAUAAGAUCGAAAUCUCUAAGCCCUUAAUCAACCUGCAAGUAACACAGAGGAUAGAGAGGAAGAGGGAAGGAAGAUGAAAGAGCAGAGAUCCAGAUAUUUUUGUAUUUAAUUUCUUUCUUAUAAAUUCUGUUCUGAUUUGUUUCCUGCGAGCUGGGCUCCUUUUAUACAGACUCCACUCCUUAAAAUGCCAGCUGGCAUAUUUAGCAAUCCUUAAUAAUAAAAACUAACGCAUAAAACAUUCAAUUAAAUCUCUAAAUCACCGAUUAAGACAAUCACAAUUGAGACCUAUUUUGGGUUCAUAACACACAUUGUCAUAGGCAAGCAAAUGUAGACCAAGUGCAUUAUUUCUAAAAAAAAUGAAGAAAACUUCGCUCGCUUGACCUCAUUCUCGAUCAUAGUUUUUCUGUUUUGAUUUCCGUCUGGAUUAUUGGAGUAGUGGUAGGUCUCGUGGCGUAUGCAGAAUUGCAGUCCAACGUUGGCCCUCCUAUUGUCGAUCCUAAUCAUAAGACAAAUUAAUGAAGAUUGGUCUCAAAUCGAGACAUGCAUUAUCGACUGCUCUUUUCUUUCUUAAACAUUAUUUACUUGAUCUACAAGUCGUGUGUGUUUAACUUUUAUGUCAUGGCAGAGAAAUGGAGAGAUCCAAUAUUGGGAAGCAGAAUGCGUCAAGAUUGAUGCAGCAAAAAAAUGUUUCCAUGCGGGCUAAUUUUGACCAAAACUUUGGUGGGAAAUAAGGAAUUUUCCCUUGAAUAUGACUACUUGGUCAUAGCAUUAGGAGCACAAGUGAACACUUUUAACACCCCUGGUGUAAAGGAGAACAGUCAUUUUCUGAAGGCAAGUCCGAUCCCUUGCGCAGGGAGAACCUACUCGUGGAAACUAUGAUCGCUUGACAGAAACGAUGUAGCUGAGGCAUUGUAAUCAUAGUUCUAGGAUUCGUGUUUUUGUUGGUUUUUUUGUGUUGAAAUGUUGGUUUUGAGUUUCAACUCUACCCUUACCUUUUUCGAUCGGGUGUAGGGUCUGAAAUAACUCAUAAAUUGGAGUGUUGUCUAUCAGCUUCAUCUUGUGUUAUUGGUCGAGACUGGAACAGCACUACAUCUAAUCACACUAAUUUUGUUUCAUUUAUGGUUUUGUGAUUCAUGUUAAAUUUCAUCUAAAUUUAUGUUGGUGGUGACAUCUUUAUGCUCAAUUGCUGCAGCUGGACUCUUUUAUUAAUUGAAUUGGGUUUAAGUAAAUUAUAUAGUAAUAAUAAUUUCUAAACCCUACAGGACCCACCUCGUCUCCACUGAUUAUGUUCUUGAGAGUACCCUAAAAAGGAACAUUUUCUCUUCCCAGCCGUUUCGUCCGUGGAUUCUCUUUCUCUUAUGAUUUUGUUUUUCGAAUGCAAUCGAAUUAGCUGCUAUAUGGACCCUUUCCUAUCUGUUGUUCCCAGCGCUUUCCCAGGCCAAGCUGGAAUUAAAAAAAUAGGAAGGCAAAGCUCUGCUAAUCUUUUUGUUUUUGGGGGAUUUAGAUUUUGUAGUGAUUAAUUAGUUUGCAGUAGAAUCAAGUGGUACGAACAAACAUCGACACAAGAGGAUGAUUGAUGGAGAAAAUGACGUGUGGAAAUCAUUACCUUCGAUUAGUCAUGUGUUGAUGGGUUCAGAUUGUACAAUCUUUUGAUUGGAGUUCAGACCAAAAACAGACUUAGACUUGUAAAUGAAUCUUCUUGUAAACUUUGUGGUACUGCGAAUUUGAAAAUUUUCAACAUAUCUUUGUUUUUUGCGAUCAAUUUUUGUUAGUAAAACUUGUAUUGAUGGGAAAAGAUUAUGAUAAUUAACAACAUUUAAGCUCAAACACUCUUGAACCCCAUUGAAAUAACAUGAACCAUAAUUUGUUGCAAGCAUGUGUGAUUAGUAUGUACAUUAGCUUGCAGUUGAAGCAAUCUCACUCCAACAUUUCCUAAUCUAACUUGAAAUAACACAUCAACAAUGGUCAUGCCCUUUCCAUACGUUGUACUUUCUACGAAGACUAGGUUCAUAUGCCAGCAACCGUGUACGAAGGGUUGAAUACUUGACUUAGUUGACUUGCAAUGAUCACCACAAAAAGGGCAUAUAGGUUAAGUUCCAGUAACAUGCAUACGGUAAAUCUUUGCCUGCCUGCUGAAUUCUUUGUGCAGCCAUGAAUACCAAACCAAACUCAAAGUUCGUGUUCUCCAUUAUUUUAUUAUGUGCAUUUCUCGAGUCCCAUGUUUCCCUUGCAGCUGACACCAUCAGCGAAAACCAAUCUCUCUCGGGCGAUCAAACCAUUGUCUCUGCAGGUGGGAUGUUUGAGCUAGGUUUCUUCAAACCAGGUCAGCUUUCAAACUACUAUAUAGGCAUAUGGUACUCCAAGCAAGUGGCAUCUGAGAUGACCGUUGUUUGGGUAGCAAAUAGGGAAAUACCGGUAUCUGAUAGAUUUUCUUCCGUGUUAACCAUCUUAGAUGGUAAUUUAGUUCUCUUGAACAUGUCCAAAAUCCCGGUUUGGUCAACAGAUUUAAACUCCACUACCAGUUCUGGUUCUGUACUAGCAGUUCUUUUGGAUAGCGGAAACCUUGUCUUGAUAGCCGGCUCUAGUAAUAAUACAUCAGAGCCUUUAUGGCAAAGCUUUGAUCAUCCAACCCAUGCUUUGCUACCAGGAGGUAAACUUGGAUUCAACAAAAUUACAAAUCAUACCCAAUUUGUCACUUCAUGGAAGAAUUUGGAGGAUCCUGCACCAGGUCUUUACUCUCUUGAGCUAGCUCCGGAUGAAAGCAAUUCAUAUAUCUUAUUGUGGAAUAGGUCUAGACAGUAUUGGACCAGCGGACCAUGGAAUGAAAGUCUGCAUACUUUCAACGUGCUUCCUGAAAUGAGGAUAGAUCAUAACUUCAUUUAUAAUUAUGUUACAAAUGAGAACGAAAGUUAUUUCACAUAUUCUUCUAACAAUCCUAAAAUUGUAUCUCAAUACUCGAUGUCUGCCUCAGGACAGAUUCAGCUACUAUGGAUGGAGAAUUCCAAGCAGUGGGAAUUGUUUUGGUCUCAACCAAGACAGUGUGAUGUUUAUGCUUCUUGUGGGGCUUUCUCCAGUUGCAAACCCACAUCCUUCAACUACUGCAAAUGUUUGAAGGGCUUUGUGCCAAACCGGCAGAGUGAUUGGGACUUGCAGAUUUAUUCUGGUGGAUGUUCAAGAAGAACCAGUGUGACGUGUGGGAAUGCUACGGGAGAUGGGCUUCUAAAAUUAAAUAGAGUCAUUGCCUGAUAAUUGAAAAUAUGAUGGUACUCUUAGUAUCGAAAGUUGUAGAUCAGCCUGCUUAAAUGAAUGCCAGUGCACUGCUUAUACUUAUGGCAGCAGCAAUGCAUGUUCAAUCUGGCAUGGAGAUGUCUUGAAUCUGCAUGAAGUUGAAGCAAAUGAAGGUGAUGGAAGUACUUUAUACGUCAGAGCGGCAGCUUCUGACAUCAAGGAAAAACGUAAUAAUAGAAUGAUUAUUCGUGUUGCAAUUAGUGGUCAUUGUUUUGGCGCCAUUAUCUUGAUGUUGUCAACAAAAUCUUUUUCUUCUCUUUGCAGGUGUAAUUAAGCCGUCCCUUUGGAUUGCAAUAGUCUCAACAAUCACUGGUUUAAUUGUUGUCGUUUUUGGCUGUUUCUUAUGGAAGAAAACUACGGGAAAGAAAAGGUACUGCUACCACCGAUCUCAUCUCUCUCUGUGUCUUUUUCUCUCAAACGUGUUCUAAUACUAUGACUAAAACAGAAAGCAUAAGAAGAACCAUACUGAGAGUAAAAGUAAAUUUGAUGUUGGAGGUGGAGGUGGAAAGGAUGAUGCAGAACUACCGAUCUUCGGUUUAAGGGCUGUAGUAGCUGCUACAAACAACUUUGCUGAAGCUGAUAAACUCGGCGAGGGAGGAUUUGGCCCUGUUUACAAGGUGACACUUCCACCAUGUGCUUUAAAUACAAGUACAUUUUUCUUCUCCUGAACACCUUUGUUUAUUUCUGACCUAAACAAAUAUCCAAGGAGAAUUAAAGGACAAAAAUAAAUAGGAGUGUGCAGGAGAAAAAAGCUGUCCAAAAAUCAUUCCCCCUUUCGAAAAUAUGAUUUUUUUUUUUCUUUGAACUUCAAAAAAUGUUCUCUUGUGCGCUUUUCUUCCUCUGUACAGGGAAUUCUGGCUGAAAGUCAAGAAGUAGCCAUUAAAAGGUUAUCAAAAAGGUCAGGCCAAGGACACGAGGAGUUCAUGAAUGAAUUAAAACUUAUUGCCAAGCUCCAACAUACCAGUCUCGUUAGGCUCUUGGGUUGCUGUCUUGAAGAUGAGGAAAUGAUAUUGAUCUACGAGUACAUGCCCAAUCGGAGCUUAGACAAACUUUUAUUUGGUAAAUACAAGCUUAUGACUUAUUAAUUCUUUGUUUCUGCAAAUUAUUUUCUAUUGAUGUUUUGAUGUCUAUUUCAUAUCAUUAACUGUUACAAGAUCAAAAAUACAUAUAGAGGAAGAGACGGGAAAGUAGAAGGGAAAACGAGAGGUGGAGGACAAUGACAGCCCAAGCACUCAUGGUGACAGCCAAAGCACUCCAAAGCACUCAUGGUGACAGCCAAAGCACACAUGGUGAUGGCCUCCACCCUACCUAACUUAAGCCACUAACUUAACUUUACAAUUAUGAGGGAACAUUAUCACUUUAAUUAUACUAGCACUAAGACUAGACAAAAGCUUGCAUUAUUCUUCCAACAUUUAACCCUACUUCCAAUAAUAACUUCCAAUACUCCCCCUCAAGCUGGAUCCAGAAGGUUGAUGGAUCCAAGCUUGGAGAGGAGCCUUUGAAACUGAUGAGAAGCCAGAGGUUUGGUCAAUAUAUCAGCCAGCUGAUCGGAGCUUUUUACAUAAUGCGUCUGAAUCACCUGCGACUGUACUUGUUCACGGACAUAGUGGCAGUCGACUUCAAUAUGCUUCGUCCUCUCGUGAAAGACGGGGUUUGAUGCUAUGUGCAUGGCAGCCUGAUUGUUACAAAAUAAGGUCAUUGGUUGAGCCGUGAACACACCUAAGUCACAUAAAAGUUCUUUCAGCCAUAUUAGCUCACACGCGGUUGGGGCCAUUGCACGAUAUUCAGCUUCGGCACUUGAUCUUGCGAUGACAGUUUGUUUUUUGCUCUUCCACGUGACCAAGUUUCCACCAACAAAGGUGCAGUAACCAGUGGUGGACUUGCGAUCGAUGGCGUUUCCUGCCCAAUCUGCAUCGCAGUACCCCAUGAUUUGAGUGUUGUCAUUCUUCGCCAUGAGGAUGCCACGACCAACGGACCCUUUCAAGUAACGUAAGAUCCUUUUGACAAGGUUCAUAUGCUCGAUGGUGGGGGAGUGCAUGAACUGACUGGCGAUACUUACUGAAUAUGAGAUGUCCGGUCUGGUGAUCGUUAGGUAGAUCAGCUUGCCAACAAGCCUCUGAUAGAAGCUAAUAUCCGAGAGUGGCGUGCCUCCCAAGUCAAGUUUGAGCUUGCUAUCGAGAGGGGUAAGUGCAGGCUUAGCAUCACUCAUAUUAGCGUCCUUGAGUAGGUCCAUGACGUAUUUUCGUUGAUUAAGAAAUAGUCCCUUGUGAGAAUAUGCCAUUUCGAUUCCAAGAAAAUACUUCAACACCCCAAUAUCUUUAAUCGCAAAUAUUUGUUGAAGUGACUGUUUGAGUGUGGAGAUUUCUGCAACAUUAUCACUUGCAAUUAUUAAGUCACCCACGUAUAUCAACACAACUAAUUUGCUCACAUCUCCUGUGCGAACAAAUAAUGAUGAAUCUGCAUUACUCAUUUUGAAACCAACACUAAGAAGGACGGAACUUAGUUUUGAAUACCAAGCACGAGGCGAUUGCUUCAAUCCAUAAAUCGACUUAUGCAACUUACACACCAAAUCAGGCUCUUGGCUUUGAGGGUGUCCUGGUGGCAAUCUCAUAUAGACCUCUUCUUUAAGAUCACCAUGUAGAAAGGCGUUAUUCACGUCCAUUUGGUACAUGGACCAACCCUUAUUGACGGCAAUAGACAAUAUGACCCUAACUGAGUUCAUUUUUGCAACAGGAGCAAAUGUUUCUUUGUAAUCCACCUCAAAUGUUUGAGUGAAUCCUCGAGCCACCAGCCUGGCUUUAUGCCUCUCAAUCGAACCAUCAGAAUUAAACUUGAUCUUAUAGAUCGAUUUGCAGCCCACUGCCCUUUUUCCUUUUGGAAGUUUGGUGAUGCUCCAGGUGUUGUGUUGGUCUGGUGCUUUGAGUUCAUCUCGCAUUGCUUCUUUCCACACAACUUGGUUAUUAGCCUCAUGAAAGUUUUGAGGCUCACUGUGACUUGAAAUGGUGUUAAGAAAGGCAGCAUGAGAUGGAGUUACCUUUUGAUACGACACGCAAUUGGAGAUUGGAUGUCUCGGUUUAUAUGUGACAAAAUCUUGAAACCUCGUGGGAGGUUGUCUAUCACGUCGAGGAUUGCGUCGAGGUACUGGGAGAGUUGUCUCAUCCUCGUUUAAAUUAUCAGCCACACUUUGAAGAUUUUCCAUGUUGCCGCUGUCAUCAUCAUGUACAGAACCAUCAGGGUGAGUGCCUUCAUUGUUGACUUCAGUGAGAGGUGUAGGAGAUUCAUCAAUGUUGUCAUGGUUAGAACCUCUGUCGUUUGAAACAUCUGGAGUGUUGAUUCUUGGUAGAGGAAGUAGGUCUAAGAAACACCCCCCCUGACUUGUGGCUUCAUGUGAUUUGCUGAAAAAAGGGUUAGCUUCAUGGAAUUGUACAUCUUUGGAUACAAUUAUUUUUCUCAUUUGAGGAUCAUAGCACUUGUAUCCUUUUUGUGUUGAUGAAUAACCAAGAAAAAUACAUUUGAGAGCUCUAGGGUCCAAUUUAUCUCGAUGUUGUGGCUGAACAUGAACAAAACAUACACAACCAAAGACUCUAAGAUGUGAAAGUUCGAUUUUUCUUCCUUUCAUGACUUCAAGUGGAGAUUUAAACUCCAAGACUCGGCUAGGAAGUCUAUUGAUGACGUACACAGCCGCCAUGACUUCUUGUGACCAAAAUCUCUUUGGUACAUUCAUUUGUAACAUUAAUGCUCUCGUUUUUUUCCAGUAUGUCACGAUUUUUCCUUUCGGCUACACCAUUUUGUUGAGGUGUACCAACACAACUUGUUUGAUGCAUGAUACCAUGCUUGCUCAAAUAUUGUGACAUGACAUGGGACAUAUAUUCGGUGCCAUUGUCAGAUCUUAAGGUUUGAAUUUGAGAGGAAAAAUGGUUCUUAACAAGGUUGUGAAAAUCUUUAAAAACUUCCAUCACUUCACUCUUAGACUUUAAAAGGUACAACCAUGUGGCUCUAGAGAAAUCAUCAACAAAGAUUACAUAAUACUUAUAACCAUCAAACGAUUCAAACGUUGGUCCCCAUACAUCUGAGUGAACUAGUUCGAAAACUUUACUAGUCCUAGAUAAGGAUGAGUUAAAAGGCAAUCUAGUGGACUUAGACAAAUGACAUGUUUCACACGAAAUUAAAUCAUUCCCUAAGUUUGGAAACAACGAUGACAAAACAGGUUGGGAAGGAUGAGCUAAACUUUGAUGCCACAAUUGACUAUCCUGGGAUGGAUUGGACUUGGCUUGAAAUCCUCUGGGACAGCUCUUUGAUAUGUAAUAGAGACCAUCUAGGUAAAACCAUUCACCAAUCGUCUUCUUGGUGAGACAAUCUUGAAAAAUGACAUUGUAAGGAGAGAAGAUGGCUAAACAAUUCAAGGUAUUGGUGAUUUUUCCCACAUAUAGAAGUUGAAAUGGAAAAGAAGGUACAUAUAAGGCUACUGACUCAAUUUUGCCCGACAUUAAGUUGAUAUUUCCCUUUCCUAAAACCUUGGAACUCUCACCAUUGGCAGUUGAGACUUGAGAAGGUUGUGAAAAUUUUUCAAACGUGUGAAACUUAGAAACAUGAUUGGUCAUCUGAUCUGUGGCACCCGAAUCAACAAUCCAAAAAUCAUGCAUCAUAUUUACUUUAAGAGCAGUUUUGAAAGCAGUCAUGAUACCUAGCAUGUCAUCUCGGGGUAUGUGUUGUGUGUCUGUCAGAAAACCAGCGAACUUGCCUAGCAAUGCUGUUGAGUUUCCAUCUUCAAAACGGACCAUCUGAUCACUCUUAUUCCAUUCUUUCUUGCUUUGAAGAUAUGCUGCAAACUCAUUUAUGAGUGCAGCCGGAUUUGUUGUGAAGCUCUUGAGUGCAUCAAACCCAUGUGAGGUUGCGGCAGAUGUAUUGUUGGCUUUGUGUGUUGCACGGUUCAGUCUUUGUGAGCCCUUGUUAUCCUUCAUGAACUCCGGCUUUAGUUCUGGAUGUAAAAUCCAUCAUGUCUCCUUAACAUGACCAGUAUAGUUGCAGUGUUGGCACUUUAAGUGUGGAUUAUUCACAUUGUAUUUUCUUUCGUUGGUUAGGUAAGCCCUUGCUUCAGUUACACUGGUCUUUGUGCCAAUGUUCAUAAACUUUCCUUCGUACUUCUUCACGUUGGAUUGUUGCACAUACACUGGUGAAUGAAGGUAGUUCGGGGUUCAUGAGUAUGUGACUUCGUAGGUCUUCGUAUCCUGAAUCGAAGCUUGACAAGAAUUGGAAUAUCUUGUCUUCUUCUGCCCUUUUCAGUAGUACCGACGCUUCAGUUGUAUGAGGCGAUACAUUUCCAACUCAUUCCACCUGCUCUUCAUGCUGCCUAGAAGUUGAACAAAGGGCUUUCCUUAUUGUUAUAGGUUGGAAAUGUCCUUCUUCAAUUAAAACACACGUGCAGCAUUAUUCUGGCUGCCAUACAUCUCCUUGACUGUCUCCCAUAGCUUGAAUGAUGAUUCAAAAUAACUGAAUAUUUUAGCUAGUUUACGUUCCAUGGAAUUUAGGAGCCAUGACAUAACUAGUUGAUCCUUGCAAAGCCAGGUUUCAUAUGUUGGUGAGGAAGCAUUAGGAACUUCGAUGCUUCCAUUUAUGAACCCUAGCUUGGACCUUCCACCUAGGGCAAGACUCACUGCUCUCGACCAAGGUAAGUAAUUAAACUCAUUUAACAAGACCGAGCUUAAUCUUUGAUUUGGGUUGACAUCCACCUCAGACAAAGUUAAGGAGGAAAGUAUCUGGGAAUUUUCCGCCUCAGACGAAGAAGAAUUUUCUUCCGCCAUAUCGGAGAUGGAGUACGAUCAGAUGGUGGGAGUGCAGAAGCAGGUUAUUUUUCCUGCUCAGAUACCAUAUUGAUGUUUUGAUGUCUAUUUCAUAUCAUUAACUGUUACAAGAUCAAAAAUACAUAUAGAGGAAGAGACGGGAAAGUAGAAGGGAAAACGAGAGGUGGAGGACAAUGACAGCCCAAGCACUCAUGGUGACAGCCAAAGCACUCCAAAGCACUCAUGGUGACAGCCAAAGCACACAUGGUGAUGGCCUCCACCCUACCUAACUUAAGCCACUAACUUAACUUUACAAUUAUGAGGGAACAUUAUCACUUUAAUUAUACUAGCACUAAGACUAGACAAAAGCUUGCAUUAUUCUUCCAACAUUUAACCCUACUUCCAAUAAUAACUUCCAAUAUUUUCCUUGUGUGCAAAUGUCAUCUACUGCAAGAUGCACAUUAUGCCCUGUGUCCAACAUUUUAUCUAAAAUGAAAAGAAAAACACUUGCUCAUCUUUCUUCGUGGUUUGUCCUAUCAGAUGCAUCUGAAAAAAACUGAACUAAAUUGGGGAUGACGUUUUCGAAUUAUAGAAGGCAUUGCUCAAGGAGUACUUUAUAUCCACAAGUACUCGAGAUUGAAAAUCAUCCACAGGGACCUAAAAGCAAGUAACAUAUUGUUGGAUGAAGGCUUGAAUCCCAAAAUUUCAGACUUUGGAAUGGCAAGGAUUUUCGGGAUAAAUCAGAUUGAAGCAAAUACAAAUAGGGUUGUUGGCACAUAGUAAGUCUACGUAUAUCUGGUACAUGUUUUCAUUGAAGUAAUGUUCUAUUGCUUACUUCUCUACAUACUGUCAAUUCAUGAGUAGCGGCUACAUGUCACCCGAGUAUGCGAGAUAUGGUCAUUUCUCUGAGAAAUUAGAUGUAUUCAGCUUUGGAGUGUUGUUGUUGGAGAUUGUAAGCAGAAAGAAUGCUGUUUUUUAUCGCUUUGAACAUUCACCAACUCUUGCUGGAUGGGUAAGUACUGAAAAAUGAUUCUAAAACUCAUGGUCAUCCUUUCUUUAAGCCUUCCAAAUUCGCAAAUGACCGUAAACUCAACAUUUUAAUCAGGGAUGGGAGUUGUGGAAAGAAGGAAGAGGAAUGGAGGUGAUUGAUGAAUCAGUAAGGGAAACAUGCCAGCUCUAUGAAGCUUUGAGGUGUAUCCAUGUAGGGUUUUUGUGUGUUCAAGAAGCUCCAGCUGAUCGACCAACAAUGUCUUCGGUAAUUCGUAUGUUGCAGGGCAAUGAAUCUACAUCUCUUCCACCUUCCAAAGAACCUGCCUUUUCAACACACAGAAAUUCCAGUCAUGUUCGCUCUUCUCAAACGCCUACCAUUUAUUCCCACAAUGCAGUCACCAUGAGUUUGCCAGAAGGUCGAUAGGCGUUGGAAGAGCAAUGACUGGCAAGCAGUUGAGAAAAUAAUAUAGUAUAUUAGAAUAAACAUCCCGACAACUAGCAGUUUUAUACAAACACUUCGGGUUCAAUUACACAUUACUCGAGCUGUUUGUGCAUUUUAUGGUUUUUGCCCAUCCAAACUAAACCUAUAAUAGCAGCAUAUUAAAUUUAUGUUGUAUUUUUUAGCUGCAAAUGUGGGUGUAACCGUACUUCUAGAUAUGUUCCCGCCACACCUCUUGGUGCAACCGUAUUUAUAUUAAAUUAAAAUGGAAUGUCACUUGUAUCAAAAGAAUAAAGAGGAGAUUUUUUUUACAUAUUCCAACUUUCAGAAGACAAAAACUAAAAACAAAAUUGUUCUAGAACAAAGGAUUUACAUUAGUAUAACCAUAAUUGACAACAUGGGUUUUCCUAUGGUUGGAAUAGAAAAUUUGACAAUCAUCAUAUAGAAUCUACCGAAUGCAAGUUUGGCAACUAGAACUACAAGUAAACUAUGUGCCCGAUCAGUUUUCUCGUCGACGAAGAUUCGAACUUGAUGCCUCUUUCAACAUUGAAAAACAAAAUAUCACUAGAACACUUGAUGAGCCUGAUCAUGUUAAACUCAAGUUUUAUUGAUGAGAGUAUGGGCUGGUGAUGAUGAGCUCUCGGCAAGCAGCGGGGCUGCUUGGCCUCCAAGAAUAAAUGGAUUCGAACAUGCACCAGUCUGCUCAAACUAUAGAGGAACUGAAUGCACCCUGCAGAUCAAGUGUCAAUAAUCAAUCAAUUAAACAAACAGUUAGUGAAUAUCACUUCGAUCUAGAAAAUUUAAGGACCUUGAAUAGUUUCACUUACAAGCUACAACAACAAAACAAAUCAACAUAAGAGUGGAUCAACCAACGAAUGCACCAUUCUAGUUGAGUCCGAUUACCACCAAUGUAAGAGUCAAUUUUGUUACAAUUAGCACCAGUAAGGACAUCAGUUUAAUCUCGAACAAAGCUCCGCUGCCAGUUUCGGCAUUAUUGUUCUCCCCAACCUUGAAACCCAUGAUUGUGCUGAUUCUUUAUCGGGACCAGGCCAAAAAACACAAACAGAGAAAGAAAAAAAAAGGAUUAAACUUGUGUUUGAGAGAGAAAACAUGAGUAUGGUAUAUAAAAAUGUUGUAGGCAAGGUAGGUAGCAUUGUUUCUUGUUACUUUUUUCUACCUGAUUUGGCUUCCCGUAUAUUUUGGGUCCCUACGAUUGUGAAGUUACCCAUUUUGAUGCAAAAUGGAGGCAGGGUACUUAUGCUUCUUGUUUGGAGAGAUAGUUUAAUUAAAUGUGUCAUGUAUCAAAAAAGGUUUACUUUUAAAAAACAUAAACAAAGUUCAUUGAGUGAGUGACGCCACUAAAACUAC
rnacentral:lncRNA from 1 species